CGCUCCCGCCUUCCCUCAGCGGCCUCUGGUUGGCCGAGAACUUCAGCCUGGGCUCGAGUGGAAGCCUAGGCCCGACGCUCGCUCCUCCUCCCUCAAGGGGCGCAUGGAGGGUGGCAUUAAAGAGGGAUAUGGAGCUAGCAAAUUGUUACAGCUUUUGCUACUGUCUCUAAGGAAUUCAGGGGUAGCCUAGGGAAAGAAAAAAAAAGCAUCCUUUUCUGGCAUUCCGAGCAUGAAGAUGUGGUUUCUCUGUCCAAUGAAUAUUAAGAAGACAUCAAGGACAUUGCCUUCCUGUGCUUGGAAACAAAGACAAACUGCACCAACAGUUGACGACUAGCAGAGAAAACAGAGGUUAACCCGUUUGGUGUUGUUGACAUCCAAGUAAUCUAGCCAAAUUCCAGAGUCCUCUUUUUAAAGGACCAGCUUGUAAUUGUGGUAACUAAGGAAACCAUGCUGUCAUUAUUUAGUAGUUACUGAAGGUACAAAAUACACCACAUGCCACUAGCACAGAGUGCCUGAAGCCACCUGUAAUCACCCAAGCAACAAUGUAGACAUUUUGUUAGUCUAUGUGCAUUCCUGUGCACAGCAGGAAGCAAUGGCUGCAUGGAGAGAAUUGAAAUUGAGAGAAAAGGACCCCCAAGUGCCACAUGUUAAAAAGACAAUGUCCUUUUAACAUACCGAGUAUACUGGAUUAUAAAUUGAGAAAUUUUUGCCCCAAAAUGGCCUCCAAAAUCUUGAGUAGAUUUAUACAUGGGACAAUAGGUCCUUUGGCCAAGCCUCUCCCCAGCCGGGCUGCCUCCGCAAGGGGCAGCCCAGUUGGGGAGACACUGGGGAGGGCGAGCAUUCACCCUGCAGCCUCUCUCCUGCUGGGCUGCCCCCUUAAGUCUGACUCUCGACAUAUCCACAAGUCAUAUAAAAAUUUAAAUUCCACCCCCCCCAUUGACCUCGACUUAUACACGAGGUAACAACAUAUAGUAGAGUAUACAUGAUAGGUAGUUAUACAAAAGCCAUCAUAUAGUUUUAGUAAGAAGGGGCUGUAGCUCAGUAAUGGAGCACAUUCUGUGCAUGCAAAGGGUCACAGAUUUAAUCCUUGGCACCUGUUUGAUAGCAACAAGUUGGUGAGGAGAAAGGCCAUUGCUGGAGAGCAUGCAAAGCAGCUCCUGGCAGUUAAUACAUGGACUAGCAGGUUAGUCAAUUAAUUACCCAUGUUAAAGAUCUUACCUGUGGAUCUGAACACUAAUUCAGAAUGAAUGCAUACACAUACUCUUCUGUCAAAAUUACACUUUUGAAUAGUUGUGGCUCAGUAAGUGGUGUUAUUCAUGAAAAUGUUCAGUUCUAAUGUUCAAGAAGCAAGAAGUGAAUUUGCUGCCACGAGUCAACUUUCCUCAUGCAGUGGGCCACACGGAUACACUUUUGGACAAAAAUGUGAUCCUCAAGUGCCUGGAAACCACUUCUGAUUUGCACUUCCUUUCUUCCAGCCUUUUUUGUUAUUUAAAAUAAACAUUUGGGUUAGAGAAA